rnacentral:rRNA from 1 species
UACGUAGGUGGCAAGCGUUGUCCGGAUUUACUGGGCGUAAAGGGCGCGUAGGCGGCCACCGCAAGUCGGUUGUGAAAUCUCCGGGCUUAACCCGGAAAGGUCAACUGAUACUGCGGGGCUAGAGUGCAGAAGGGGCAACUGGAAUUCUCGGUGUAGCGGUGAAAUGCGUAGAUAUCGAGAGGAACACCUGCGGCGAAGGCGGGUUGCUGGGCUGACACUGACGCUGAGGCGCGAAAGCCAGGGGAGCGAACGGG